UACGUAGGGGGCGAGCGUUAAUCGGAAUUACUGGGCGUAAAGCGUGCGCAGGCGGUUGUGCAAGACAGAGGUGAAAUCCCCGAGCUUAACUUGGGAACUGCCUUUGUGACUGCAUAGCUAGAGUGUGUCAGAGGGGGGUAGAAUUCCACGUGUAGCAGUGAAUUGCGUAGAGAUGUGGAGGAAUACCGAUGGCGAAGGCAGCCCCCUGGGAUAACACUGACGCUCAUGCACGAAAGCGUGGGGAGCAAACAGG
rnacentral:rRNA from 1 species